UACGUAGGGCACAAGCGUUGUCCGGAAUUAUUGGGCGUAAAGAGCUCGUAGGCGGUUUGUCGCGUCUGUCGUGAAAGCCCACGGCUUAACCGUGGGUCUGCGGUGGAUACGGGCAGACUAGAGGCAGGUAGGGGAGAAUGGAAUUCCCGGUGUAGCGGUGAAAUGCGCAGAUAUCGGGAGGAACACCGGUGGCGAAGGCGGUUCUCUGGGCCUGUACUGACGCUGAGGAGCGAAAGCGUGGGGAGCGAACAGG
rnacentral:rRNA from 1 species